UGGCUCAUUUAAACAGUUAUAGUUUAUUUGAUAAUUGAAUUUACAUGGAUAACCGUGGUAAUUCUAGAGCUAAUACAUGCUGGUUAGCCUGACUUUUAGGAAGGGCUGUAUUUAUUAGAUAACAAACCAAUAUUCCUCGUGUCUAUUGUGAUGACUCAUAGUAACUGAUCGAAUUGCAAGGACUUUGUUCGCGAUACAUCAUUCAAGUUUUUGCCCCAUCAGCUUUUGAUGGUAGUGUAUUGGACUACCAUGGCUUUAACGGGUAACGGAGGAUUAGGGUUUGAUUCCGGAGAGGGAGCCUGAGAAACGGCUACCACAUUUAAGGAAGGCAGCAGGCGCGUAAAUUACCCAAUCCUGACUCAGGGAGGUAGUGACAAGAAAUAACGGACCGAAGCCUAUGUUUUGGGAUUGCAAUGAGUAGAAUUUAAACCCCUUUACGAGGAUCAAUU
rnacentral:rRNA from 1 species